rnacentral:tRNA from 1 species
GGUGGCUCAGUUGGUAGAGCAUGGUGUUUGCAACGCCAGGGUUGUGGGUUCGAUUCCCAUGGGGACCA